UACGGUGGGGGCAAGCGUUGUUCGGAAUUACUGGGCGUAAAGGGCUCGUAGGCGGCCAACUAAGUCAGACGUGAAAUCCCUCGGCUUAACCGGGGAACUGCGUCUGAUACUGGAUGGCUUGAGUUCGGGAGAGGGAUGCGGAAUUCCUGGUGUAGCGGUGAGAUGCGCAGAUAUCAGGAGGAACACCGGUGGCGAAGGCGGGUCUCUGGGCCGAUACUGACGCUGAGGAGCGAAAGCGUGGGGAGCGAACAGG
rnacentral:rRNA from 1 species